UACGUAGGGUGCAAGCGUUGUCCGGAAUUAUUGGGCGUAAAGAGCGUGUAGGCGGUCAGGUAGGUCCGUUGUGAAAACUCGAGGCUCAACCUCGAGACGCCGAUGGAAACCAUCUGACUAGAGUCCGGAAGAGGAGAGUGGAAUUCCUGGUGUAGCGGUGAAAUGCGCAGAUAUCAGGAGGAACACCAAUGGCGAAGGCAGCUCGCUGGGCCGUUACUGACGCUGAGGAGCGAAAGCAUGGGGAGCGAACAGG
rnacentral:rRNA from 1 species